GGAGUUUGGACCGUGUCUCAGUUCCAAUGUGGGGGACCUUCCUCUCAGAACCCCUACUGAUCGAUGGCUCGGUGGGCCGUUACCCCGCCGACUACCUAAUCAGACGCAUCCCCAUCCCAUAGCGGUGAACCUUUGUUCCGAAUCAGAUGUCAUCCUCGGAAUACAUAGGGUAUUAAUCCGCAUUUCUACGGGCUAUGCCCUACUAUGGGGAAGGUUGGAUACGCGUUACUCACCCGUGCGCCGGUCGCCGACAAGGAAAGCAAGCUUUCCUCUCGCUGCCCCUCGACUUGCAUGUGUUAAGCCUGUAGCUAGCGUUCAUC
rnacentral:rRNA from 1 species